rnacentral:rRNA from 1 species
UACGAAGGGGGCUAGCGUUGUUCGGAAUCACUGGGCGUAAAGGGCGCGUAGGCGGCUGUUCAAGUCGGGGGUGAAAUCCCGUGGCUCAACCACGGAAUGGCCUUCGAUACUGGACGGCUGGAGACCGGAAGAGGUGAGUGGAACUGCGAGUGUAGAGGUGAAAUUCGUAGAUAUUCGCAAGGACACCAGUGGCGAAGGCGGACUCACUGGUCCGGUUCUGACGCUGAUGUGCGAAAGCCAGGGUAGCGAACGGG